AUAAAUAUUGUAAAUAUUUUAGGACCCCUGAAAAUUAAAUUUUGAAUAGUAUCAGUUUUCCGCAUUUUUUAUUUCUUUUGUUAUAAAUUGUAUGGACCAUACCAAUAUUCCAAGCAUCCGAGAAGUUGUUGUAUGUUCGAGUGGUUUGAAGAAACCGAGUGAUCUGAAAGUUCAAGUUGUGUCCAAACUCCAAAGAGAAAGUCAUCUCACUGCGGGUAUUGCGUAUAUACAGCAUAGCAAAGUUUGUCAUCCCCAUAUUGUUGCGCAGUAUCUGAAUUUUCUUGUGUGUUCUUCCGUAUAAUAUUGGUAUAUAUUUGUACUUGGAUCCAGAAGUAGCGUGCAAAAAAAAAAAACUUCGAGGACCCUGGGUUGAGCCACCUUGAUGUAGAGAGACUAAAGAGCUUCCGAUCAAAAAAUGUCUGGUUGUAAAUAUUGAUAAAAUUGAGGGAUCAGAUAAAAAUGGAGUCAAUGGAACGAAUUUAUACACGCCUUUAAUUGCCUUUAAAAAAGGGUAAUUAGUUCCAAAGGAGACAUAAAACGAACACAGAACGUAUUAUUAUUGUUAUGCACAUCGUACAAUAUAAUUAAACUUAUAACAAUUACAAAUCAAAUUAAAAUUAUAUUUUUAUUUUUAUUUCACAUACAUUUCAGUCAUAUAUUUUAUAAUUAACAUUCUUGUAACUUACUAUAGUUGCAUAGUAUUUUUUUUACAAAGCCAUAUCUGGAAAAAAAAUUAUUAUAAAUAUUGUCGUUAAAUUAAAAUACGUGUAGUUAGACACUACUGGUUAAGAUCUUAAUUUGUAUACUCAGUUAUACAUUGUUCAUUUUGAAUUAGUUUGUAUCUUGUGUCACGUUUGGUAGAUGCCAGAUGGGUACUUCUAAGUUUAACCUAGACUUCAGUUUGUACUUCAUUAAUCAAAAAGGGUUAAUUAUUGAUAGGCAGGUAUUCCAAAAACUACGAUUACGAUUUGAAUGGAAUGUCUUACAAUAGUUCGUCAUUCUUCUUAAACUGGAACUUGCUGAUACCCAAAGUAUUGGUGGAUAAUCGCAAUUUUGGUCAGAUAAUUGUCAACUAAGUAGUCUGAAUAUUUACCAACUUUAAAUUAAAUAAACUUAAUGUUUAAUAACGUUUAAGCCAAUUAAUAUAAAAAUUAUCCUUGCAUAAACCUACUUGUAUUUUUUAUUUAGCAUCAUUUAAAGAUAUAUUGGUCGGUCACAGUAAGUAUAUUUUUUGUUGAUUGUCAUAUUUUUACUUUCUCUUCUCCUAGAAUGGCCAGAUGACAAAUCAAAUAGUGUUGUUUAUUUAUAUCCUGUAUCGAAGGAAUGUCUGUUCAAAAACUGUUCUUGCAUAUGAAUAGUGUGAUGUAUAACGUUACAGCUGCACAUUUUUGCUUUAUACAUUUUAAUAUUACACAAAGGUAUAACUUAUGUGACUGUAUUUCUAAAGAAAAUGCAUUUUCUUUAUAUUUCAUAAUAUAGGUACCUAGUUGUUAUAGAUCUCUUCAAAACAAUGUUAUCUAUAUCUGCCAUGAAUUAAUAAAGUGGCUAGCUCACAAGUAAGCUCAAUUGAUUGAUUUUAGUAGACAUUUUAACUAUCAUUAUAUCUACUGUAAAAUAUGGGUUCUUCAAUUCAUUCAUAACUUAUUC
rnacentral:lncRNA from 1 species